GGGCUGGACUGCACAAUGGAAGGACAACACUUGAGCUUAGCCAAAAGGCCAAGACGCGACGGCGCGGGACAAAUGGCAGGAUUGUUGGCUUGGGACAUGACUCUUUCCUGUGUCUGGGAAUCUGACCUUCCCCAGACAAAGGAAGCUGCCAACGUGCUUCUUGGAGCACACAGGCAUGCAGACCCGCCUGGCCAGGAUGAGACUGGGGCCUACCUCAUCGACCGUGACCCCACCUACUUUGGGCCCAUCCUGAACUUCCUCCGACAUGGCAAGCUGGUGCUGGACAAGGACAUGGCAGAGGAGGGGGUCCUGGAGGAGGCUGAGUUCUACAACAUCGGUCCACUGAUCCGCAUCAUCAAAGACCGGAUGGAGGAGAAGGACUACACGGUGACGCAGGUGCCACCCAAGCACGUGUACCGCGUGCUGCAGUGCCAGGAGGAAGAGCUCACUCAGAUGGUCUCCACCAUGUCUGAUGGCUGGCGCUUCGAGCAGCUGGUGAACAUCGGCUCCUCCUACAACUACGGCAGCGAGGACCAGGCGGAGUUCCUGUGUGUGGUGUCCAAGGAGCUGCACAGCUCCCCAAACAGCCUGAGCUCAGAGUCCAGCCGCAAGACCAAGCCCAGUCAUCUCAGGAUCCCGCUAACCUUUCCUCCCUCCCACCACCGCCUCCUCCGCUUCCCGCUGGAGGCUCCGCCUCAUCUUCAUCCACCUCCUCUUCCUCCUGGACCUCAUCUGCACCCUGCCUCCUCCCUCUCUGCCCCUGUCCGGGUUUCCUCUCUGCCUGCUCGCACCUCCAUUCUGGGACUGCCCUGGUCCCGGCCCCCCGUGCCCUCUACCCAGGCCCCCCAGCAUCCUGCCUGCUGCCACCUCCUACGCCCCUCCUUGUCCCUCCCACCUCCCAGCCUGGGGAGGAGGGGCACAGCCGUGCUUUCUGUGUGCCCACCAGCCCUGCCACUGCCACUGGGCACCUCUGAGGCUGGCCUCGGCCCUAGGCACCACUCCGCCCAGCUCCUGCCACCGCCACUGCUCACCUCUCCUCCUUGCAGGCCCACAUCCUCGCCCUCCCAGACCCGAGCUGCUCCCCGGCCCCAUGCCUGCCCCAGAGCUGUCAUCGCAGUUGGCAGCCCGGUGGAGCUGGAGGGGAGGGUCGGAGCCAGGAGGGUGCACAUCUCUGGUCCUUGGACUGGGGCCCAGAACUUUCUUCCCACUGACUGUCUACCCACCAAAGUUUCUCACCCUGUCUGGGCCUUGGGGUGAGGCUCUGAGACCAGAAAGUCAGGAGGUGGGGCCCUUUCCUGUCUGCCCGCCAGCACCUGAGCCAGGCUAGGGGAGGGAGAGCCAGGACCCCUCGCCUUGGCCUCAUCCCCAAGAGCUCCCGUCACCAUGGGCACUGGGUCCCCAUUUCUGUGGGGUGGGGAGGCCAGGUUACACGUGGACACCCUUGACCAAUGAGGACACAGCCAGAGCCAGUUAAGGAUGGGACUGCAGCAGAAAGCCCUGGCCAGCUAUUACAAGCCAGAGGCACCCGGAUGUGAGGCCCCAGAUCACCUCCAGGGACUUGGGGUUACGAUCUGA